rnacentral:rRNA from 1 species
UGGGGAAUAUUGCACAAUGGGCGCAAGCCUGAUGCAGCCAUGCCGCGUGUGUGAAGAAGGCCUUCGGGUUGUAAAGCACUUUCAGCGAGGAGGAAGGUGGUGAGCUUAAUACGCUCAUCAAUUGACGUUACUCGCAGAAGAAGCACCGGCUAACUCCGUGCCAGCAGCCGCGGUAAUACGGAGGGUGCAAGCGUUAAUCGGAAUUACUGGGCGUAAAGCGCACGCAGGCGGUUUGUUAAGUCAGAUGUGAAAUCCCCGGGCUCAACCUGGGAACUGCAUUUGAAACUGGCAAGCUAGAGUCUCGUAGAGGGGGGUAGAAUUCCAGGUGUAGCGGUGAAAUGCGUAGAGAUCUGGAGGAAUACCGGUGGCGAAGGCGGCCCCCUGGACGAAGACUGACGCUCAGGUGCGAAAGCGUGGGGCAGCAAACAGGAUUAGAUACCCUGGUAGUCACGCUGUAAACGAUGUCGA